AGUGUUGCGUAGGCUUGAUUUGCGCAUUUUGUUUAAAAGACUAAGGCUCAACCUUAGUUUUGGGCAAAAUAUGGCAAAUCUUGAUGGUUUAAGAGGGUACUGGAACUCUAUAUGUAGCAGUGAAAUGCGUUGAUAUGUAGAGGAACACCAAAGGCGUAGGCAGGUACCUGGGAAACUCAUGACGCUGAGGCACGACAGCUUGGGGAGCGAAAAAGAUUAGAGACCUUUGUAGUCCAAGCCGUAAACGAUGGAUGCUAGUUAGUCCCUCUUUUGGGACCGACGUAAGGUAACCCGUUAAGCAUCCCGCCUGGGGAGUACGAACGCAAGUUUAAAACUCAAAGGAAUUGACGGGGAGGCGCACAAGCAGUGGAGCAUGUGGUUUAAUUCGAUACAAAGCGAAAAACCUCACCAGGGUUUGACAUGUAGAUGCUAGGCCUAAGAAACUAGGCCUCCUUCGAGGGUUCUACACAGAUGCUGCAUGGCUGUCGUCAGUUCGUGGCGUGAGCUGUACCGUUAAGUCGGGCAACG
rnacentral:rRNA from 1 species